AUUAGGUUCUGUGGAUGAGGCAUGGUGCUUGGCACAGACUGACACACGUUGGGGCAAACUUGGCAGAGCAGCCUAACCCAAAGCAAAAAACAGAAAUGAACCAAGAUACAACCUCUGUGGAAAACCCUACUGAACAAAAGCAACCCUGUGGAGUGUCCUCUCAGCUGCAAAUUGAGACAGAAUUGUGGGGCAAGCUUGGCCACUGAUGCAGCUUGCUACACAGAAAGCCAGAGACCGAGAGCCAAUGACUGAGACUAUGAGUAUUGCCAAGGAAGAAGGCUUUAAUCGGGUGCUGCAGCUGAGAAGAUGAGAGCUCAGCCUCAAAUCCAUCUCCCUGACCAACUAAAGCUAAGGAUUGAUAUAGCAGGGAAGAAAACAGGAACUAGGAAGGGGCAAGGAAGCGAUCCUGAUGAAUGAAGGGUCAGGCAUUUCAUUGUCUGGAUGUGGCGAUCUGCUCACACUGGCCACACCUGGGACUUCUAACAUGAAUGCUUUUGUCACGGAUGCUGCGCUGCUGCUGUUUCUGGUUCUUACUCUGCUUACACCAAGGAGACUGAUGUCCCUGCUAUAACCCCACUUCCGAUGCAGACAGCAAUUCCAAUGCAUUGCAGCUUUCAGGAUUUUCUCACUGUGUUUUUGCCUCUCCUUUUCUUUAAGACAUGAGCAUUUGUCUACGGGGAUGGCCUGAAGUGUAGUCUCCAUUACCCAGAGUCAUCUCACUCUCUGACCUUGACUCAUGAUCUGAGAACAAGUGCUCCCCUGCUUCUCUUCCUGAGGGGCAUCUGUCCCUCUUGCAAACAGAUUUCCUUUGGGCUCUGUCAUUUAGAAAUGCCCUUAUUUAUCUGAAUUAUAGUUCCAGUUCAGAACAUUUACAAAGGAACAGAUUGCUCCCAAUUUUAAAGCAGGUAAAUUCUAAAAGUUGGCAAGCCAGUCAUUUAGAAUUUGAGCCUCAUAUUCCAUAGGUAUGAAAUUAUACAUAAUGAAAAAGUUCCCAGGGCAGCCCACAAAAAGCCUACUUAUCCAAAAUAAAGCUAACCUGAGUUAAUUCAGCUCUAUGGCCUAGCCACAUUCAGCAAUGUGUUUCUAUUAGAAUGCAUGUCUUAUAUCAACUGGGAAGCCAAGAAGGCAGUUCAGAACUGAACUGAAAUCUAUCCUGUGUUGGAAUUUUAUAGCCAGAUAUCAGUUAACCAGGCCCCAGUGAGUGGAGAAAUCUUGGAUUUAGAUUCUUAUGAAAUUCUUUAUCAAAUCCUGGGAUCUUCCAAAAGACUGUGUAAAAUUAU
rnacentral:lncRNA from 1 species